GCCAGGGUGGUGUAGUGGUUUGAGUGUUGGACUAGGACUCUGAAGACCAGAUUCGAAUCACCGCUCGGCCA